UCAGUUUAUAAUUCUACAAAAACUUUUUCAGAGAAGAAAAUUCGACACUAUAUAAGAAUGGUGCGGAUGUGAUUGCCUACUCCUCGGACUCCGGCCUCCCAUUGGAACAAAGAGAAAAUCAAGUUGGAAAAAAAAAAAGAAGAUCAAACAGUUGAUAUCUAGUUUGGAGAGUUAAUUAAUUUGGUGCUAAAAUGGAGAAAUUUAUGGAAGUCUUUUAUGAUUCUCAUCAUGAUUCCUCUUCUUCUUCUCUUGAUCGUCUCUUCAAAUGGCCAAGAACAGGUAAUGAAUGGCGUGGAGAUCGAGAUGACACCCAUUAAGCUCCAGAGGAUGUGGGGUGUGAGCAAGAAACCGUUCAUGAAUUAUGAUCACCGCCGCCAGUGCCCCGGCGCCACCAACUGCGAAAUGGUAACCGGGCUGAGUCCCCCUAAGAGCUAAUUAAGUCGAUAUGAUAUAAAUUAAUGACUCAUGCAAAGUCUGAUUACAAAAAAAAAUAUAAAGAAAUAAGAUGUUGCCAUUGAUUAUUGAAGUGUCAGAAAGCUAUUAACCCCAAGCUUUACACAAACACUCCCCAAGAUCCUUGAUCAGAUACUACAAGAUGCCUUUUACAGAUAAUCUGAAUUACUUAACAAAUGCUAUACGAAUGAACAAGAUGAUGAUUGAGUUUAGAAACGAACAAAGAUUUGAAAUACAAUUAAAGAAUCACAGAACACAGCUAUUAACGUGGUUCAUUGAAUUUACACAUCCACGGAGGAACAAAUUCAUCAGUUUCAUUGAUUCUUCAAGUUUCUUUUUACAGAGAUUACAGAGCAUGUAUCAAGGAACAAGAAAGCUUCUUUAUCUCAAGCUAACUCUCUCACUAGAAUGCUCUAGUUCUCUCUAAAUUUCACACACUCAUCAGCUGUGU
rnacentral:lncRNA from 1 species